rnacentral:rRNA from 1 species
GAUGAACGCUGGCGGCGUGCCUAAUACAUGCAAGUCGAGCGAACGGACGAGAAGCUUGCUUCUCUGAUGUUAGCGGCGGACGGGUGAGUAACACAUGGAUAACCUACCUAUAAGACUGGGAUAACUUCGGGAAACCGGAGCUAAUACCGGAUAAUAUUUUGAACCGCAUGGUUCAAAAGUGAAAGACGGUCUUGCUGUCACUUAUAGAUGGAUCCGCGCUGCAUUAGCUAGUUGGUAAGGUAACGGCUUACCAAGGCAACGAUGCAUAGCCGACCUGAGAGGGUGAUCGGCCACACUGGAACUGAGACACGGUCCAGACUCCUACGGGAGGCAGCAGUAGGGAAUCUUCCGCAAUGGGCGAAAGCCUGACGGAGCAACGCCGCGUGAGUGAUGAAGGUCUUCGGAUCGUAAAACUCUGUUAUUAGGGAAGAACAUAUGUGUAAGUAACUGUGCACAUCUUGACAGUACCUAAUCAGAAAGCCACGGCUAACUACGUG